rnacentral:lncRNA from 1 species
CGACGGAUAAACUCCCACAGCUUCUUCCACAAGUGUCGAUCGGGUUCCCCCGACGGACGAACUCCUGCUACAUCUCCUGGGCUUCUCCAGCGAUAAGCUUCUUCGGUCGUCCAUCAGGCUGCUCCAAGUGCUCUCUGGAUUCUACUAUCGGCCGACCUCCUACAAGGGUCAACCGCUCCCCGGACCUCUUCCAGAUCUUUUCCAACAGGAUUCGAUCGACUCCA